rnacentral:rRNA from 1 species
AGUCGGACGGUAGCACAGAGGAGCUUGCUCCUCGGGUGACGAGUGGCGGACGGGUGAGUAAUGUCUGGGGAUCUGCCCGAUAGAGGGGGAUAACCACUGGAAACGGUGGCUAAUACCGCAUAACGUCGCAAGACCAAAGAGGGGGACCUUCGGGCCUCUCACUAUCGGAUGAACCCAGAUGGGAUUAGCUAGUAGGCGGGGUAACGGCCCACCUAGGCGACGAUCCCUAGCUGGUCUGAGAGGAUGACCAGCCACACUGGAACUGAGACACGGUCCAGACUCCUACGGGAGGCAGCAGUGGGGAAUAUUGCACAAUGGGCGCAAGCCUGAUGCAGCCAUGCCGCGUGUAUGAAGAAGGCCUUCGGGUUGUAAAGUACUUUCAGCGGGGAGGAAGGCGAUGUGGUUAAUAACCUUGUUGAUUGACGUUACCCGCAGAAGAAGCACCGGCUAACUCCGUGCCAGCAGCCGCGGUAAUACGGAGGGUGCAAGCG